rnacentral:rRNA from 1 species
GCGGUAAUACGUAGAAGACUAGUGUUAUUCAUGUUUAAUCGGUUUAAAGGGUACCUAGACGGUAAAUCAAGCUUCUAAAAAAUAUAAAUGAAGGCACUAAUUUACUAGAGUUACUUAUGAGGGGGUAUUAAAGUACUGCUGGUGUAGAGAUGAAAUUCUGUCAUACCUCUUUUCAAUAGAAAAAUGAUGGCACAGGUAUAGGCGAAAGCAUCCCCUUAUGUGAUAACUGACGUUGAGGGACGAAGGCUUUGUGUAGCGACCAGGAUUAGAUACCCCAGUAGUCAAAGCAGAAAAUGAUGAAUGUCAUAGAUUAGAUAAAUAAGUUUAUUCUAUAAAUGAAAGUGUAAGCAUUCCACCUCAAGAGUAAUUUGGCAACAUUGGAACUGAAAUCAUUAGACCGUUUCUGAAACCAGUAGUGAAGUAUGUUGUUUAAUUUGAUGUUCCGCAAAAAACCUUACCACAAUUUGAAUAUUUAUAUUUUUUUAUUGUUUUUUUUUUCUUCUUUUCUGAUUUUUCAUUUUUCAUUUUUUUUUUAAAAGAAAAAUGAAAAAAGAAAAAAGAAAAAAAAGAAAAGAUGAGACAAUAAGUUAUAUUUACAAGCGUUGCACGGCUGUCUUCAGUUAAUGUCGCGAGACUUUGGUUAGUUCCAUUAAAUUAACGUAAACCCUUACUUUAUUUUUAUAUAGAGUAGUUCCCCGCUAUAUUGGAUAUGAUAACAGGACUAAGACAA